UACGAAGGGGGCGAGCGUUGUUCGGAAUUACUGGGCGUAAAGGGCGCGUAGGCGGCGACUCUAGUCAGAUGUGAAAGUCCUGGGCUUAACCUGGGGACUGCAUUUGAUACUGGGUUGCUUGAAUUCGGGAGAGGAUAGCGGAAUUCCCAGUGUAGAGGUGAAAUUCGUAGAUAUUGGGAAGAACACCGGUGGCGAAGGCGGCUAUCUGGACCGACAUUGACGCUGAGGCGCGAAAUCGUGGGGAGCAAACAGG
rnacentral:rRNA from 1 species